AGUGAACGCUGGCGGUAGGCCUAACACAUGCAAGUCGAACGGCAGCACAGUAAGAGCUUGCCCUUACGGGUGGCGAGUGGCGGACGGGUGAGGAAUACAUCGGAAUCUACUUUUUCGUGGGGGAUAACGUAGGGAAACUUACGCUAAUACCGCAUACGACCUACGGGUGAAAGCAGGGGAUCUUCGGACCUUGCGCGAUUGAAUGAGCCGAUGUCGGAUUAGCUAGUUGGCGGGGUAAAGGCCCACCAAGGCGACGAUCCGUAGCUGGUCUGAGAGGAUGAUCAGCCACACUGGAACUGAGACACGGUCCAGACUCCUACGGGAGGCAGCAGUGGGGAAUAUUGGACAAUGGGCGCAAGCCUGAUCCAGCCAUACCGCGUGGGUGAAGAAGGCCUUCGGGUUGUAAAGCCCUUUUGUUGGGAAAGGAAAGCAGCAGGUUAAUACCCCGCUGUUCUGACGGUACCCAAAGAAUAAGCACCGGCUAACUUCGUG
rnacentral:rRNA from 1 species